UGAUCUCCGUAGGGGGAACCUGCGGAAGGAUCAUUACCGAGUGUAGGGUUCCUAGCGAGCCCAACCUCCCACCCGUGUUUACUGUACCUUAGUUGCUUCGGCGGGCCCGCCAUUCAUGGCCGCCGGGGGCUCUCAGCCCCGGGCCCGCGCCCGCCGGAGACACCACGAACUCUGUCUGAUCUAGUGAAGUCUGAGUUGAUUGUAUCGCAAUCAGUUAAAACUUUCAACAAUGGAUCUCUUGGUUCCGGCAUCGAUGAAGAACGCAGCGAAAUGCGAUAACUAGUGUGAAUUGCAGAAUUCCGUGAAUCAUCGAGUCUUUGAACGCACAUUGCGCCCCCUGGUAUUCCGGGGGGCAUGCCUGUCCGAGCGUCAUUGCUGCCCAUCAAGCACGGCUUGUGUGUUGGGUCGUCGUCCCCUCUCCGGGGGGGACGGGCCCCAAAGGCAGCGGCGGCACCGCGUCCGAUCCUCGAGCGUAUGGGGCUUUGUCACCCGCUCUGUAGGCCCGGCCGGCGCUUGCCGAACGCAAAUCAAUCUUUUUCCAGGUUGACCUCGGAUCAGGUAGCAGCGGUCC
rnacentral:rRNA from 1 species